UACAGAGGUCUCAAGCGUUGUUCGGAUUCAUUGGGCGUAAAGGGUGCGUAGGUGGUGAUGCAAGUCUGGUGUGAAAUCUCGGAGCUCAACUCCGAAAUUGCACCGGAUACUGCGUGACUCGAGGACUGUAGAGGAGAUCGGAAUUCACGGCGUAGCAGUGAAAUGCGUAGAUAUCGUGAGGAAGACCAGUUGCGAAGGCGGAUCUCUGGGCAGUUCCUGACACUGAGGCACGAAGGCCAGGGGAGCAAACGGG
rnacentral:rRNA from 1 species